GGGCUCUUCACAGAAGAUAUAUAAGGCAGAAUAUAGGAUCCUAAUUGUUUUUCAGCAUAACAUAUCCAACCUGGACACGCUGAUGAAAGCAUAGGUAGCGCUGAUUUAGAUCUAUCAUCAUCUUUUGAUUGGUUUUGCUUGUAGCGCAUAAUGAACUCAUUACAAGUUUCCACAAGAGUUAAAUCUCUACUGCAACUUGUAUCAAAUACAGCCUUUACACCCAAAGACUUAAAAAAAUGAAGUGAGUUUCUUAAAAACCUGAAGCAGGGAGAUGCCAAAAUGAACUGCAAGAGAAGCUCUGGAUUGUGGAGACACAGAGACAAUAACCACUUUUCCUUUAUCAAUAUUAGAAAGGAAUUCAUCUAAACUUUGC
rnacentral:misc_RNA from 1 species